AACGAACGCUGGCAGCGUGGAUUAGGCAUGCAAGUCGAACGGGAUCCGGAAGGUAGCAAUACCGGCCGGUGAGAGUGGCGGAAGGGCGAGGAGCACGUGGACAACCUGUCCCGUGGGUGGGGAUACCGUCCCGAAAGGGGCGUUAAUACCGAAUGGGGCCCCGGACCGCAUGGUCCGGCGGCCAAAGGCGGGGACCGCAAGGCCCGCCCCCCCGGGAGGGGUCCGCGCACCAUCAGCUAGACGGCGGGGUAACGGCCCACCGUGGCUUACGGUUAGCUGGGCUGAGAGGACGACCAGCCGCACUGGGACUGAGACACUGCCCAGACUCCUACGGGAGGCUGCAGUCGAGGAUCAUUCGCAAUGGGCGAAAGCCUGACGAUGCGACGCUGCGUGGAGGAUGAAGGCCCUCGGGUCGUAAACUCCUGUCAUGGGGGGCGAGGCGGAGGCGGUUAACGGCCGCCCGAGUUGACGGUACCCCAAGAGGAAGCCACGGCUAACUCUGUG
rnacentral:rRNA from 1 species